rnacentral:rRNA from 1 species
CCUACGGGAGGCAGCAGUGGGGAAUAUUGCGCAAUGGGCGCAAGCCUGACCCAGCAACGCCGCGUGAAGGAAGAAGGCUUUCGGGUUGUAAACUUCUUUUGUCAGGGACGAAGCAAGUGACGGUACCUGGCGAGUAAGCCACGGCUAACUACGUGCCAGCAGCCGCGGUAAUACGUAGGUGGCAAGCGUUAUCCGGAUUUACUGGGUGUAAAGGGCGUGUAGGCGGGACUGCAAGGCAGAUGUGAAAACCACGGGCUCAAACUGUGGCCUGCAUUUGAAACUGUAGUUCUUGAGUACUGGAGAGGCAGACGGAAUUACUAGUGUAGCGGUGAAAUGCGUAGAUAUUAGGAGGAACGCCAGUGGCGAAGGCGGUCUGCUGGACAGCAACUGACGCUGAGGCGCGAAAGCGUGGGGAGCAAACAGGAUUAGAUACCCCGGUAGUC